CUGGAGAGAGAGAGGGUUGUUGGGAGGAGCUCACAUUUACACUGAGCAUGCAUGCACAUAAGAGGCACUUUCCAGCCAGAAAUCACAUACAGAACUUUGGAAGGCACAAUAGAGCAGAGCUAAAACUGACUACUUUCCAGGAGAGGAAUGAGAUAGUGUCCUCCCCAGACCUGAUGGGGCAAUCUUAUCCUCAGUGUGAGGCCAUCUCCCACAGCAGGUGUUUAUCAUACUGAAUUGAUGGAAUGUCAUGGUCAAGGCUGGCUCUUUGAUAUGUGAAAGUGAAGAAGAACCCAACCAAAAUACCACAAACCCAAAGGAAAUAUAUUGUGUUUUGCUGUCAACAGCCUGACAGUAGCUAAGGCCCCAUUUCCCCUGUGGGCUAUCAAAGAGUAACUUGAUCAAGGCACAUGAGAUAAAUGAAGAUGACGGUCAUGCUGGGACUGGAAACGUGCCUCCAGCAGUGGCAGCAGUGUGUAUGUUUGCAAGGGGAAU